rnacentral:tRNA from 1 species
GGUGGUAUAGCUCAGUGGUAGAGCACAUGCUUAGCAUGCAUGAGGUCCUGGGUUUGAGCCCCAGUCUUCUA